UACGUAGGGUGCGAGCGUUAAUCGGAAUUACUGGGCGUAAAGCGUGCGCAGGCGGUUCUCCAAGUCCGUUGUGAAAGCCCCGGGCUCAACCUGGGAAUGGCAGUGGAAACUAGGGGACUGGAAUCUGGCAGAGGGGGGUGGAAUGCCGCGUGUAGCAGUGAAAUGCGUAGAGAUGUGGAGGAACACCAAUGGCGAAGGCAGCCUUCUGGGCCAACACUGACGCUCAUGCACGAAAGCGUGGGGAGCAAACAGG
rnacentral:rRNA from 1 species